GGCGGUGGAGCGCGCUGUCUCCGGACCAGGCCGUCACGCCUGGUCUGGCAAAUCGAUAGUGGGGAUACAGCGCCGCGCGAAAAUUGAAAAUCCUUGUGUCGGUGGUUCGAUUCCACCCCGGGCCACCA
rnacentral:tRNA from 1 species